rnacentral:rRNA from 1 species
GUAGGUGGCAAGCGUUGUCCGGAAUUAUUGGGCGUAAAGCGCGCGCAGGCGGUUCUUUAAGUCUGAUGUGAAAGCCCACGGGCUCAACCGUGGAGGGUCAUUGGAAACUGGAGAACUUGAGUACAGAAGAGGAAAGCGGAAUUCCACGUGUAGCGGUGAAAUGCGUAGAGAUGUGGAGGAACACCAGUGGCGAAGGCGGCUUUCUGGUCUGUAACUAACGCUGAGGCGCGAAAGCGUGGGGAGCAAACAGGAUUAGAUACCCUGGUAGUCCACGCCGUAAACGAUGAGUGCUAAGUGUUAGGGGGUUUCCGCCCCUUAGUGCUGCAGCUAACGCAUUAAGCACUCCGCCUGGGGAGUACGGCCGCAAAGGCUG